rnacentral:lncRNA from 1 species
UGUGAAUCGCACCCCUGGAACUGUGCAGGGCCCACCUGUGUGGCCACACGCAGUGACCCUGAGCAAAGGAGUGACCACAGAAGUGCAUGGCAAAGCAGAAAGGUGUGACGUCUUGGAGGACGCGGGAGGAAAGCACGCCCAGCGGACAGGAGCCAUCACGCGGCUGCGGGCUGCUGCUGAGAACCUGGCGUGGGCCACCGUCGUCAGCAGCGUGGAGAUGGUGGAAGCAGAUGCACUGAGGCUGGGGAUGUGGCCGCAGAAACGCUAGCUAUGGGCACAACAGGAAGCCCUCCAGCCCCAAGCCCAGCAAGGAGCCUGCAGGACCACUGUGGGGCCACUGCCACCCUGUGGGGUGGUCCGGGGAGCCGAGGAGCAUGGACACCGUCUUCUCCUUCCAGCAGGCACAGGUAUGGAAGGAGACUGAGGCUGGUCUUGGAUGGACACUUGUUAUUGCAGUCAGAGUCCAUCUGGAUAAUCCUGGAUAAAUCUCAUCUGGAGAUCCUUCACCAGAUCACAUCGGCAAUGACCUGUUCCCCAAAUAAGGCCCUGUGCACAGGUUCUGGGGUGCUAGGAGUGAGCCACCAUGCCUGGCCCAGUUUUUAAUGCUUGGACAUCUCCAAAAUCAGGACAUAUCUUGUAAUUGAAGACGUCUCACCAUAGCGGCCAGCCGUGCAACCACUGGGCCUGUCUGUGCCUGAACAACACACUGGCCUGCCUUUGCCUGAACAAGACAGCCUUAGUCUCAAAGCUUGCAGAUGGGUGUGGCCUGGUAGAAAAUUCUCAAGACAACGGCGGAGCACGCUUGCCCCUAGGAGACCAAGUGGCCGGAAUGUUGAGAAUCAGCCUUUCGCAGAAAUCCCCUAAGCGGGAGGCAGCAGGCUGACUCCAUCAGCCCCAGGCAGGCUUCUGGGCCCUGCAGCUAUGGCUCUUCAUCCUUUUACAUGUUCUUCGAGAAUCAGCUGCACCCUGGAUGCUUCUGACAGCUCAGAGGACAUCAGCAUGAGGACAAGCACAGGGCUUGAUGGCUCGGAGGGAAAUGGAGUUGGAAGAUUUGGACUUAAUGUGCACACAUUUUAGAAAUAUCUUAACAAAUUUUAUUUUGCUGAUAUCUUUCUUUUUUGUGUGUGCCAAAGUGAUGGCCAGUACAAAUCCAUGUCUAAUUAAGUCCAGAAGAGCUCCUUCAAUAAGCGUAAGAUGAAAGUUAUGAGUGAUAAGAAAGCGUCAUGUCAGUUUAAUUGGCAGCAUUUUCUCUUUCUUAGUGGUUCAUAAAAUAAGGCAGUGCUUUGCUAUCGACGG